GAUGAAGAACGCAGCGAAAUGCGAUAAGUAGUGUGAAUUGCAGAAUUCAGUGAAUCAUCGAAUCUUUGAACGCACAUUGCGCCCCUUGGUAUCCCGAGGGGCAUGCCUGUUCGAGCGUCAUUUCACCACUCAAGCCUGGCUUGGUGUUGGGCGACGUCCUCUUUGGGGACGCGCCUCGAAACGCUCGGCGGCGUGGCACCGGCUUUAAGCGUAGCAGAAUCUUUCGCUUUGGAAGUCGGGGCCCCGUCUGCCGGAAGACCUACUCGCAAGGUUGACCUCGGAUCAGGCAGGGAUACCCGCUGAACUUAAGCAUAUCAUAAGCGGAGGA
rnacentral:misc_RNA from 1 species